rnacentral:tRNA from 1 species
GGGGAUGUACCUUAAACGGUAGAGUACUCGCUUUUCAUGCGAGAGGUAUGGAGUUCAAUACCCUGCAUCUCUA